CAUUUUGUUUGCCAUCCAUCAACAUUUUGCAGAUAUUGGUAUUUUAUGUUUUCAAACAAAUUUUCAAUGGCAGUUGACAAUGCUGUGGUAUGAGAAGCUGCUGCUGUCUGUCAGGAAUCGUAAAGGUGUUUUGAACGCAUAUAACAGAUGGACUAAGAGCUAUUCUGUCUGGGGAUCCAUCACGGGUCAUUU